rnacentral:ncRNA from 1 species
AGCCGCUGUAGCGUCGUGCCGAGCGGUUUGAUAAACAGUGAAUUAUUCUGUAGCGCUACAUUGCCGGCAGCGGUCACCAGCUGACCGUCAAGGGGAAUAUCCAAAUGCAGAUUGCCGUGCACUUCUCCUCCAACCUGCAACUCAUUAAGCGUUUUACCGAGAGACGCUUUGAGGGGUGUUUGCAGGAAAUAGUCGCGGAUAGCAUCGCCGGUGCCGCUGAGGCCGACGUCGAUCAAGAGCUUUUCUUUGGAAUAAUCGGGAAUACUGGCGGCGAUAUUGCUGCCCUUAGCCUCGCCGAGCGCGGUUUGCGGCGCAUGCAUAAACAGGCCGUCGUUGACAAAAUCCAGGUCGAUAUCCAGCUGCGUCAGCGGCGGCCAACCGGGUUCAAACUCAUAUUCCGCCUGCUUGAGCGGCACC